rnacentral:rRNA from 1 species
GACGAACGCUGGCGGCGUGCCUAAUACAUGCGAGUCGAACGGUGAAGGAGGAGCUUGCUUCUCUGGGUGUGUUGCGAACGGGUGAGUAACGCGUAGGUAACCUGCCUGGUAGUGGGGGAUGACGAUUGGAAACGAUAGCUAAUAGCGCAUAAGAGUGGAUGUCGCAUGACAUGUGCUUAAAUGGGGCAAUUGCAUCACUAACAGAUGGACCUGCGUUGUAUUAGCUAGUUGGUGAGGUAACGGCUCACCAAGGCAACGAUACAUAGCCGACCUGAGAGGGUGAUCAGCCACACGUGGAAUGAGACACUGCCCCAAACUCUACGGGAGGCAGCAGUAGGGAAUCUUCGGCAAUCGACGGAAGGCUGACCGCGCCACGCCGCGUGAGUGAAGAAGGUCUUCGGAUCGUAAAGCUCUGUUGUAAGCGAAGAACGAGUGUGAGAGUGGAAAGUUCACACUGUGACGGUAUCUUACCAAAAAGCAACGGCUAACUACGUG